rnacentral:rRNA from 1 species
UGGGGAAUCUUGGACAAUGGGGGCAACCCUGAUCCAGCCAUGCCGCGUGAGUGAUGAAGGCCUUAGGGUCGUAAAGCUCUUUCGCCUGUGAAGAUAAUGACGGUAGCAGGUAAAGAAACCCCGGCUAACUCCGUGCCAGCAGCCGCGGUAAUACGGAGGGGGUUAGCGUUGUUCGGAAUUACUGGGCGUAAAGCGCACGUAGGCGGACCAGAAAGUUGGGGGUGAAAUCCCGGGGGCUCAACCCCGGAACUGCCUCCAAAACUAAUUGGUCUAGAGUUCGAGAGAGGUGAGUGGAAUUCCAAGUGUAGAGGUGAAAUUCGUAGAUAUUUGGAGGAACACCAGUGGCGAAGGCGGCUCACUGGCUCGAUACUGACGCUGAGGUGCGAAAGUGUGGGGAGCAAACAGGAGUUAG